rnacentral:rRNA from 1 species
UACAGAGGUGCCAAGCGUUAGGCGGAAUCACUGGGCUUAAAGCGCGUGUAGGCGGGUCGUUAAGUGUCCGAGUGAAAUCCCACGGCUCAACCGUGGAACUGCCGGGCAUACUGGCGAUCUUGAGGCAUCAGGGGCGAGCGGAACAAAUGGUGGAGCGGUGAAAUGCGUAGAUAUCAUUUGGAACGCCAAUGGUGAAAACAGCUCGCUGGGAAUGAUCUGACGCUGAGACGCGAAAGCCAGGGGAGCGAACGGG